rnacentral:rRNA from 1 species
GACGAACGCUGGCGGCGUGCUUAACACAUGCAAGUCGAACGGAAAGGCCCUGCUUGCCGGGUACUCGAGUGGCGAACGGGUGAGUAACACGUGGGUGAUCUGCCCUGCACUUCGGGAUAAGCCUGGGAAACUGGGUCUAAUACCGGAUAGGAGCCAUUUUUAGUGUGAUGGUUGGAAAGUUUUUUCGGUGUAGGAUGAGCUCGCGGCCUAUCAGCUUGUUGGUGGGGUAAUGGCCUACCAAGGCGGCGACGGGUAGCCGGCCUGAGAGGGUGGACGGCCACAUUGGGACUGAGAUACGGCCCAGACUCCUACGGGAGGCAGCAGUGGGGAAUAUUGCACAAUGGGCGCAAGCCUGAUGCGGCGACGCCGCGUGGGGGAUGACGGCCUUCGGGUUGUAAACUCCUUUCGCUAGGGACGAAGCUUUUUGUGACGGUACCUAGAUAAGAAGCACCGGCUAACUACGU